GGGCUCGUAACUCAGCCUGGCUAGAGUGUCUGGCUUUUAACCAGACGGCCGUGGGUUCGAAUCCCACCGAGCCCG
rnacentral:tRNA from 1 species